GCUCCUGUAGCCCAAUCGGUAGAGGCGACUGCCUUAAAAGCAGUCCAGUGUGGGUUCAAAUCCCGCCAGGAGUA
rnacentral:tRNA from 1 species